CAAGUCGAACGGGUGCAGCAAUGCAUCAGUGGCAGACGGGUGAGUAACACGUGGGAACCUUCCUAGGGGUACGGAACAACUCAGGGAAACUUGAGCUAAUACCGUAUGUGUCCGAGAGGAGAAAGAUUUAUCGCCCUUAGACGGGCCCGCGUCGGAUUAUCUAGUUGGUGGGGUAACGGCCUACCAAGGCGACGAUCCGUACCUGAUCUUAUAGGGUGAUCAGCCACACUGGGACUGAGACACGGCCCACACUCCUACGGGAGGCAGCAGUGGGGAAUCUUGGACAAUGGGCGCAAGCCUGAUCCAGCCAUGCCGCGUGAGUGAAGAAGGUCUUCGGAUUGUAAAGCUCUUUUGCCAGGGACGAUAAUGACGGUACCUGGAGAAUAAGCCCCGGCAAACUUCGUGCCAUCAGCCGCGGUAAUACGAAGGGGGCUAGCGUUGUUCGGAAUUACUGGGCGUAAAGCGCACGUAGGCGGGUGGUUAACUCAGGGGUGAAAUCCCGGAGCUCAACUCCGGAACUGCCCUUGAUACUGGUCAUCUAGAGAUCGGAAGAGGUGAGUGGAAUUCCCAGUGUAGAGGUGAAAUUCGUAGAUAUUGGGAAGAACACCGGUGGCGAAGGCGGCUCACUGGUCCGAUACUGACGCUGAGGUGCGAAAGCGUGUGGAGCAAACAGGAUUAGAUACCCUGGUAGUCCACGCCGUAAACGAUGGAAGCUAGCCGUCAGCCAGCUUGCUGGGUGGUGGCGCAGCUAACGCAUUAAGCUUCCCGCCGGGAGAGUACCGUCGCCAGAAUAUAACUAAAUGAAUUGACGG
rnacentral:rRNA from 1 species